rnacentral:rRNA from 1 species
AGUGAACGCUGGCGGUAGGCCUAACACAUGCAAGUCGAACGGCAGCACAGUAAGAGCUUGCUCUUACGGGUGGCGAGUGGCGGACGGGUGAGGAAUACAUCGGAAUCUACUUUUUCGUGGGGGAUAACGUAGGGAAACUUACGCUAAUACCGCAUACGACCUACGGGUGAAAGCAGGGGAUCUUCUGACCUUGCGCGAUUGAAUGAGCCGAUGUCGGAUUAGCUAGUUGGCGGGGUAAAGGCCCACCAAGGCGACGAUCCGUAGCUGGUCUGAGAGGAUGAUCAGCCACACUGGAACUGAGACACGGUCCAGACUCCUACGGGAGGCAGCAGUGGGGAAUAUUGGACAAUGGGCGCAAGCCUGAUCCAGCCAUACCGCGUGGGUGAAGAAGGACUUCGGGUUGUAAAGCCCUUUUGUUGGGAAAGAAAAGCAGCAGGUUAAUACCCCGCUGUUCUGACGGUACCAAAAGAAUAAGCACCGGCUAACUUCGUG